rnacentral:rRNA from 1 species
GAUGAACGCUAGCUACAGGCUUAACACAUGCAAGUCGAGGGGCAGCAUGAACAAAGCUUGCUUUGUUUGAUGGCGACCGGCGCACGGGUGCGUAACACGUAUCCAAUCUGCCCGCGGCCCCUCGGGGAUAGCCCAUCGAAAGAUGGAUUAAUACCCGAUGGCGUGGUCACUCCGCAUGGAGUUUCCACUUAAAGGUUUUCCGGCCGCGGAUGAGGAUGCGUAUGAUUAGGUAGUAGGCGGGUAACGCCCACUAGCCUUCGAUCAGUUAGGGGUUCUGAGAGGAACGGUCCCCCACACUGGAACUGAGACACGGUCCAGACUCCGUACGGGAGGCAGCAGU